UCCGUAGUCGGGUAAUUAAGUCAGAGGUGAAAUCCCACAGCUUAACUGUGGAACUGCCUUAGAUACUGGUUAUCUUGAGUUUUAGUGAAGUAGAUAGAAUGUGUAGUGUAGCGGUGAAAUGCAUAGAUAUUACACAGAAUACCGAUUGCGAAGGCAGUCUACUAACUAACAACUGACGCUAAUGGACGAAAGCGUGGGGAGCGAACAGGAUUAGAUACCCUGGUAGUCC
rnacentral:rRNA from 1 species